AUUGAACGCUGGCGGCAUGCUUUACACAUGCAAGUCGAACGGUAACAGGCCGCAAGGUGCUGACGAGUGGCGGACGGGUGAGUAAUGCAUCGGAACGUGCCCAGUCGUGGGGGAUAACGCAGCGAAAGCUGCGCUAAUACCGCAUACGAUCUCUGGAUGAAAGCGGGGGACCGAAAGGCCUCGCGCGAUUGGAGCGGCCGAUGUCAGAUUAGGUAGUUGGUGGGGUAAAGGCCCACCAAGCCAACGAUCUGUAGCUGGUCUGAGAGGACGACCAGCCACACUGGGACUGAGACACGGCCCAGACUCCUACGGGAGGCAGCAGUGGGGAAUUUUGGACAAUGAGCGCAAGCCUGAUCCAGCAAUGCCGCGUGCAGGAAGAAGGCCUUCGGGUUGUAAACUGCUUUUGUACGGAACGAAACGGUCCGGGUUAAUACCCUGGGCUAAUGACGGUACCGUAAGAAUAAGCACCGGCUAACUACGUGCCAGCCGCCGCAGUAACAC
rnacentral:rRNA from 1 species